UAAGCGGCAAUAUGGUUCCCCAACCUCCUGGAAAUGUAAGUUUGUGACUUGGAUUCGGAAGAGAUGUCUGAACGGCGCCAUCCUAGGACAGACAGGGGGGAGAGGAGGCCACAACCUGCUCAGUGUUAGUCACUUCCUCUGCCCAGUGUACCGCAUGAGCAGCCAGCCAUUCUAGCGCUUACCACUUGGCAAACUUUCUGCGCACACCUUCGCUUAGUAAUGAUUUUCUUCAUGAAUUCCUAUUUCGCAGCCACUUCUUUAUAUAUUUAGAAUUCCUUCGAUAAUAAUCUAGAGAGAACGUUAAGCUUUUUUGAAAUUUGGUCCCUAUAGGCCAAAUUGUCUGCGAACCUUCCUCCCUCAGACCCCAGAGGGUAAGCAUUAGUAGCCAUCGCAGCAGUCUUUCAGGGGCCCCUAUUUGGGUUGACUGUUGAUUUCAGCAAUCCUUCUAUCUUCACCUCCAGUGGAAUUACAGGUGUGGGUGUCCACACCUGUUUAUAGUUCUGUCGGGAAGGGGGAGGAUGGUCUUAUUUUAUUCGGGCGUUUCCACUGUAGCUCAGGCUGACAUGGAACACUAACACAAUCCUCUUGCCUCAGCCUCUCAAAGUGCCAAGAUCAUCACCACGUCUGGCCAUCAGCAGUAAUAACAAGUCUCAUAUUUCUGGCUUUGGGGUGUCAAGGCACUCGGAAUAAACAUCUUCCUUUUCAAAUACAUAAUUUAGUAGUGGAGGUUCUUGGGAUAACAUCUAUGUUGUAAAUUUAGACUGAGGAGCUCAAGAGAUAACUUGACAGUUCCAUUCUCACCACCCAGGUCUAGCUGUUAUGGUUGUAACUCCAGUUCCAGGAGAUCUGCUGUCUUCUUCUGGACUCUAUAGAAACCUCCAUUCCCAGGUGCACACACCCUCCACACAUAUACACACAUGUAUGGUGUGUGUGUAUAUAUAUAUAUAUAUAUAUAUAUAUAUGCGCGCACAUAAAUCUAUUUAAAGUGUUUGGUAUGCCAUCACUGGGGAGGCAGAGAAUUACCACAAACUCAAGACCAGUCUGGUCUACGUAGCAAAUUAAAGCCUGUCAGGAAUAUACAACAAGACUCUGCCUCAAAAAAAUAACAUACAUAAAUUUAGAUAACACUGAAAAGCAGUGUUAGAUGAAGCACAAGUUUCAACACUAUUCCAAUCUAAAAGGUAAGAUAGUACUUUCCAGAAUAGUAAUAUUUUAUGAACUAAAAAUGAAGGACUUUUAAUUCCGAGAGGCAGGGGGGGUGACCUGAAAAUUUAGAAUUAAUUGCAGGGCUGGAGAGAUGGUUGAACAGUUAAGAACACAGGCUGCUCUUCCAGAGACCCCAGGUUCAGUUCCUAGCAGCUAGACUCCCAGCUACAGUAACUCUAGCCCCAAGGAAUCUAACACCCUCUGGGCCUUUCCCCACACCCAGCCUGGGGCACACACAUGUACAUAAAUAAGAACAAAUGUUAAGGGAAUUAGAAAAGGGGCUCUCCCAGAGGGCACAGUUUCAGUUCCCAGCACCCACAUGACCGCUCUAACUAUACUCCAGUUCCAGGGGUCUGAUGUCCUAGCCCUGGAUUUUUUUGACACCAGACAUGCAUAUGAUACACAUACACACAGGCAAAACACAAUAUACACAAAUAGUAAAAAUAAUAUGAAGCCAGGCAUGGUGGCCCACACUUUUUUAAUCUCAAGGCUCAGAAGGCAGAGGCAGGCAGAGCUUUGUGAAUGCAAGGCCAGCUUGGUCUAUACAGGGAGUUCCAGGAAAGUCAGAGCUAUAGAGACAGACAAUAUAUAAAUAAUAAUAAUAAUAAUAAAGGAAAAUAAAGACUUAGGAGACAAGUUAAGACUUCACUCAGGCCUUGGCUAUUUCAGUCAGCUGCUCUGAGCAGCUUUGGUGAUAUGGUAAAGGUUAAAGGUGAAAUACCGGGAGUUCUAGAAAAGGUAGGUCACUUCCCGACCAUUAGCCACUUUUUCUGGCCGGUAAGUGAAAAAACAGUCUUGCAGACUAACUGUACUGUAGAAACACAGCAGGCACUAUAAGAGACACAUCAUUCAGUUCCUCCAGAGGGCUCAGUUCAGUUCCCAGGACCUACAUGGUCACAAUUGUCCCUAAAUCUAGUUCCAAGGGAUCCAGCAUCUUCUGGCCUCCGUGGGCACCAGGCAUGCACGCAGAUGCAGGGGAGACACUCAUAAAUCUUAAAGCAACCAAAACCAAGACAAACAAACAGGGCAGUGUGGUAAGAGUUACUUAUCUAUCUUGCACAAAAUUCCAGCUGCUCUAUUUCAAGACUAGAGCAGGUGGGGUACAGUGAUAUAUGCCUUUAAUCCAAGCACAUCUCCCAGAUUCACAAGGUGAGAGCUUAUAACAAAACAAAAACUAGAGCAGAAAAGUGUAAUGGGUUCCAAUGCCUUCUCCCAGGUGGCUUUCCACGAAGCCAGCAGUCCAGGCAGGGACUGACACUGGAAGUGUCAGAUACUCACUAACCCAGGAGAGGAAACUGGUUAUUACUGAUGAAGAUGUUGGUAUUUUGCCCUACAUAACUCCAUUUUUUCCUGUUUGUUUUCUAAGUUACUAUGGGUGUGCCUCCACAAGUGGCUGCUAUUAUAGGGGUAUGCCUCCAUGUGUGGCUUUUCUUCCCCACCCCCCCAUCAAAAGCAGCCUUGAAGUGAACUCUGAAGACACAAAACAAAGCUGAGCCACCGAUCAUCAGCUUUAUUCCAGGAGCGUGGUCAACUCUUUGACUUCCCUGCUCAAAAGAACAAGCAGUCCCCAAGUUCAUAAGCAAGGUCAAACUUGGGAUUCUUUCUGUGCAGCAUACAGAAGCCCAGACAGGAGUACACACACCUAACACAGAAGCCCAAACAGGAAAACACACACACACCCCACACAGAAACUCAGACAGGAAUGCACACACACCACACAGAAGCCUAUACAGGAGUGCAUACACACACCACAGAAGGAGCCCAAACAGUAGUGCAUACACACCACACACAGAAGCCCAACCCUAGACUACAUAGCUAGUUCUAGCCCAGCCAUGGUUACAUGGUGAGAUCCUGUCUCAAUAAAAUAAGUAAAAAGAUUAGAUGUGUUGAGGCUCUAGCUCAGUAGUAGUAAAGUGUGUCCUAACACACAUGAGGCCCUGGGUUUGAGGCACAGCAUCCUCCUUGCAGCCCCUCAAAAAAAUUAUUAAGAUUUUAAAACUAAGAAAAACAACAGCCCUCGUGGCUCACCUUAUGGAGAGCUUCAGUGCAGAGAACUGGCCUGGCAUGAGAGACCUUGGAUUCUACCCCUAAUGCCACGCAGAAAAUUAUACCAAUGAGAUUUAAAACUUGCCCACCACCAAGCAUGAUGGCCAACACCAGCAAUCCCAACACUGGGAGGCUAAGGCAGGAGGAUUGCAAGUUUGAGGCCAGCCUGGGCUAACUGAGCAAAACUCUGUCUUUAAAAAAAAAAAAAAAAGCUAAGCAUGGUGAUGCAUGCCUUUUAAUCCCAGCACUUGGGAGACAGAGGCAGGCGGAUUUCUGAGUUCGAGGCCAGCCUGGUCUACAAAGUGAGUUCCAGGACAGCCAGGGCUAUACAGAGAAACUCUGUCUCGAAAAGCGUGCAACCAGAGAGCUCACAAGAUCAGUUCAAGGACCUACAGGCAAUGGGAAGAGCGGAACAUCCCACGCCCUCAA
rnacentral:lncRNA from 1 species